rnacentral:sRNA from 1 species
UUUUUUUUUUUUUCCGGUAGGUCGCCCGCUGAGGCGGUUUGUAAGUUUUGGGUCGCAGUAUGCUAGAAUUUUGAGGCUCCCUUCCGAUGAAAAUUGAGCUGUCCAUGCAGCCAUGGAACCCAGGUUACAGCAGUGAGGGGGCCACGGCUCAAGGCCAGGCGCAGUGGCUCACGCCUGUAAUCCCAGCACUUUGAGAGGCCGAGGCGGGCAGAUCAUGAGAAACUUACACAUGUCCAAAAAUGAUUGAGAUAGAGCAGGCGGAGGCCCAGCUUUCCGAGUUAGACCUGCUAGCCAGUAUGUUCCCUGGUGAGAAUGAGCUCAUAGUGAAUGACCAGCUGGCUGUAGCAGAACUGAAAGAUUGUAUUGAAAAGAAGACAAUGGAGGGGCGAUCUUCAAAAGUCUACUUUACUAUCAAUAUGAACCUGGAUGUAUCUGAGGAAAAAAUGGCGAUGUUUUCUCUGGCCUGUAUUCUUCCCUUUAAAUACCCGGCAGUUCUGCCUGAAAUUACUGUCAGAUCAGCAUUAUUGAGUAGAUCCCAGCAGACUCAGCUGAACACAGAUCUGACUGCAUUCCU